GCCAUAGCUUAGUGGCAGGACAUCUGCUUUGCAUGCAGAAGGUCACAGGUUCAAUCCCCAGCAUCUGCA
rnacentral:tRNA from 1 species